rnacentral:ncRNA from 1 species
CAAAGGUUUGGUCCCAGCCUUCCUAUUAGCCCUUAGCAGGAUUACACAUGCAAGUAUCAGCACUCCGGUGAAAAUGCCCUUCAAAUCAUCAAUUGGUUCGAAGGAGCGGGUAUCAAGCACACUAACUCAAGUAGCUCACGACGCCUUGCCUAGCCACACCCCCACGGGAUACAGCAGUGAUAAAAAUUAAGCCAUGAACGAAAGUUUGACUAAGCCAUGCUAAUUAAAGGGUUGGUAAAUCUCGUGCCAGCCACCGCGGUCAUACGAUUAACCCAAGUUAAUAGGCAUACGGCGUAAAGCGUGUUUAGGAAUUAAAAAUAAUAAAAUUAAAUCUUGACUAUGCCGUAGAAAGCUCAAGCCAAGACUAAAAUAAGCCACGAAGGUGAUUUUAAACGAUCCAACCACACGAUAGCUAAGGCACAAACUGGGAUUAGAUACCCCACUAUGCUUAGCCCUAAACUAAAGCAGCAAAAAACAACAAUACUGCUCGCCAGAGAACUACUAGCAACAGCUUAAAACUCAAAGGACUUGGCGGUGCUUUAUAUCCCUCUAGAGGAGCCUGUUCUGUAAUCGAUAAACCCCGAUAAACCUCACCAGUCCUUGCUAAUACAGCCUAUAUACCGCCAUCUUCAGCAAACCCUAAAAAGGAGUCAUAGUAAGCUAAACCAUGAAACAUAAAAACGUUAGGUCAAGGUGUAGCCCAUGGACUGGGAAGAAAUGGGCUACAUUUUCUAGUGUAUAGAACACAAACGAAAAUUUUCGUGAAACCGAAAAUAGAAGGAGGAUUUAGUAGUAAAUUAAGAAUAGAGAGCUUAAUUGAAUCAGGCCAUGAAGCACGCACACACCGCCCGUCACCCUCCUCAAGUACUAAGAGACGAGCAAUCAACCAUAUUGAUAAACGUACACACAUAUUAGAGGAGAUAAGUCGUAACAAGGUAAGCGUACUGGAAAGUGCGCUUGGACAAACC